GAGAUGAAUCAAGAUACUCAUCCUGGUGGCUAGGCUGUUCCUGAGUAGAGGGUGUGGUGCUAGAAGUUGAUUCAUACUUCUCCAUCAUUCGUCAGAGGGUCUGAUACUCCUCUGCAGAUAAGCUGUGUACAAUACCCUCAGCCUCUUCAGAGAAAUUGGCUUGAGCAGAUCUACGACCAUGAUUCUGUCAUCCAGUUCUUCCAUUACUAUGACAACCACCACAACCCUGACUACCACGCCCAGGCUGAUUUGGGCGACCAUGGAGAUCCCAGCAAAAUGCCUUAGUGUGCCCAGGUUUCUUGCAAUGAAAACAUACCUUCUCAACCAUCUGCU
rnacentral:lncRNA from 1 species